GGCUUGCUCUCUCAAAAAAAUAGUCCUCAGGUGCUAGUGUUUGAACCUGAAGCUACAUAAGCACAGCAACAUCAACUCUGCUAUUUUUUAGAAGGGAUACCCUGUCAGCCAUUCUCUUUUACAUCUAAGUCUUAGGAGAAGGCAUAAUGUCUCUCCUCAUCUUUUCCAAAGGUGUAGUAUUCUCAGACAGAGACUGAGUUUAACUGGCUGAGAAAGGCAGUGUGAGGUAUGAUAGCAACAAUCACUCAGCAAAAUAGGCAAGCACUCCAUAUGGAAGCCUUUAGUUUAGCUCAGAGGUGGAAGGAGUUUAAAAAAAAAAAUUAUUAUAGCUAUCUCUAAUAUUUGUGUUUUAUUUCACAGAGUAUCACAGAAUAUGCCAAGUUGGAAGGGACCCACAAGGAUCACUGAGUCCAACUCCUAGCCCUGCACAGGACCAUUCCUAAGUCACACCAUGUGCUGGAGAGUAUUGUCCAAAUGCUUCUUGAACUCUGUCAGUUUUGGUGCUGGGAUCACUUCCUGGGGAGCCUGUUCCAGCACCCAACCACCUUCUGGGUGAAGAACCUUUUUCUAAUAUCCAACAUUGUGAUACAGAGAGAUGGGGAAAGGAACGGACUCCUGAAGCGCUGACCACAGAACUAAAAACCAAACUGCAACUUACCCAACUCUGCUCUAGCACAUUCCCAUCAGAAGUAAGGAAACCUUCAGUGAAAGAAAGAGUUGGGGAAAGGGACUAGAAAAUCACAAUAGGAAAGACUGUACAAAGACAUGGAAAAAGCGUGAAAUAGUUCUACAGGGAGAUCAAUGGACAAAGGCCACAUCCAUUAAAAAGCAGCAUGGUACAAAAUGAGGAGCGAAGUCCCUCCCACUGUAAGUGAAGAGCAGGUUUGAGACCACCUAAUGAAACUGAAUAUCCACAAGUCUAUGGGGCCUGAUGAGAUGCAUCCCAAGGGCCUGAGGGAACUGGCUGAUGUUGUUCCUCUCUCCACCAUAUUUGAAAAAUCCUGGCAGUC